rnacentral:rRNA from 1 species
GUCGAACGGUAGCACAGGAGAGCUUGCUCUUUGGGUGACGAGUGGCGGACGGGUGAGUAAUGUCUGGGAAACUGCCCGAUGGAGGGGGAUAACUACUGGAAACGGUAGCUAAUACCGCAUAACGUCUACGGACCAAAGUGGGGGACCUUCGGGCCUCACACCAUCGGAUGUGCCCAGAUGGGAUUAGCUUGUUGGUGAGGUAAUGGCUCACCAAGGCGACGAUCCCUAGCUGGUCUGAGAGGAUGACCAGCCACACUGGAACUGAGACACGGUCCAGACUCCUACGGGAGGCAGCAGUGGGGAAUAUUGCACAAUGGGCGCAAGCCUGAUGCAGCCAUGCCGCGUGUAUGAAGAAGGCCUUCGGGUUGUAAAGUACUUUCAGCGGGGAGGAAGGGAGUGAGGUUAAUAACCUCGCUCAUUGACGUUACCCGCAGAAGAAGCACCGGCUAACUCCGUGCCAGCAGCCGCGGUAAUACGGAGGGUGCAAGCGUUAAUCGGAAUUACUGGGCGUAAAGCGCACGCAGGCGGUCUGUCAAGUCGGAUGUGAAAUCCCCGGGCUCAACCCGGGAACUGCAUUCGAAACUGGCAGGCUAGAGUCUUGUAGAGGGGGGUAGAAUUCCAGGUGUAGCGGUGAAAUGCGUAGAGAUCUGGAGGAAUACCGGUGGCGAACGCGGCCCCCU